UACGAAGGGUGCGAGCGUUGUUCGGAAUUACUGGGCGUAAAGGGUUUGUAGGCGGGAAGAUAAGUUGGAUGUGAAAUCCCCGAGCUAAACUUGGGACGUGCAUCCGAUACUGUUUUUCUUGAGUAUCGUAGAGGGUGGUGGAAUUGUAGGUGUAGGAGUGACAUCCGUAGAGAUGUGCAGGAACAUCAGAGGCGAAGGCGACCACCUGGCCGAUGACUGACGCUGAGGAACGAAAGCGUGGGGAGCAAACAGG
rnacentral:rRNA from 1 species